UUGAAUGUACGGCUAUUAUGAAAAUGGUGCUUUGUAGUCAUGAAGAGGGUGUAUUCUGGGAUCAGACCACCUGCCUGGAGAGCCUUACUAACCUCAGUUUCUUCAUCUUAUCUUUCCUUUCUGAAAAAAUAAUAAUAAGAUGAUACGUAUUCCUCUUAAGUCCUAACAGGAACCUUUUCCCCUCACUCCCUCCCCAGAGGUGGGUGUAUAUCAUUUCCAUGCAUGACUGUACUUUUACAACAUAUGCAUAUUCACAAAUAAAACAUGACAAAUUA